UUCCCUCAAAGGUUCAGUUGGAAAAGGCCGACAGGUGCUUCAUAUUGGAGGUAAUCUUUCUUUUUUUUUUAACUAGAACCUGUACACCUAAACAUCAGGGGAAUGUGUUAAUAAGCUUGAUUUUUCCUGACCUAUAUUUUACAGAUGCCAACAUCUGUGCUUGAUGAAAUCCUCAAAGAGGUGGUGCUCCAGGAAGGAGAAAAUGUCUACCUGACAUUGGCUCCGGUGUGUACCACAUUCAGAGACAUUGUGUCCACCAAUUAUUUGAGAAGACGGGCACAUUUUCAGUGGCUUGACAGUGUUGCUACAUGGAGUAGGUUUUCUGCAACGUACAAAAAAGCUUUCUGCACCAUGUACACCAUUGACACCUGCCUUGGAUGUGGACGACUAUAUAAAAACUGCACACCAGGCAUACAUCUUAUACAGUACUUUAUAGUGUUGGUAUCUGUGUGAUUACACACAGUAUCAUAACUAUGCAUUGAUCACAUCUGUAGAGGUCACAUGUCAGUAUGUUUUUUUUCCUUCCUUUUUGUUUUACAGGAUACGUUGGGACAGGAAAAAGGGGAGCGCUAGAAGCAAUCUAUUCUGAAGCUGAAGAUCCGGGAUACUGCAAUCACUUCUGCAGCCAAUUGCAAUAGAUGUCCCUCUUGCCUGUCCUCAGCCCCUGCACGUCGAGAGGAGCAGACACCCGUUUGUGCCCAGAGGACAUUACUCACAUGUUGGACUUUUGAGAAUACUUUGCAAAAUCUCAUGACACUGUUAUUGUUGUAAAUAUAUAUAUAGUUAUAUGUCCUUAAGAUGUUUGUGUUAAUGUUUGUGUUGUUGUUUCUGCAUACAAGGUUGACCUGUACUUAGUUAGUUUCGAUUGAAUAUGCAUCUUAAGUAUUACCUUAGUUUGUUUCACUAGUCACUUUUGUUGUACAUAGUAACUUUAAAUUGUUACCCUUUUUCCACAUUUGUAUAUAGUCACUGUUAGUACCUGGAAGCAGUAGGAGUGAGCUGCCUUUUCUUUUGACUUGUUUUCUCAUGUUUUUUCAUAGUUUACGAUGUUAGUUUUAGUGAUGGUCUUUUUUAUUAUUAACUUUCACAUAGAGUUUAGGUACCUUGAAUUUCCCUUUAAAAUCUAGUUUGUUUUGUUUAAUUAUUUUGGCCUUGGUUCACUCCGAAGAGAAGCUUCAUUUUCAGUUUGGUGUAUUGUUUGUGUGCUAAGCAGCAAUAAACUGCUUGUCAUUUUGA